AUUGAACGCUGGCGGCAGGCCUAACACAUGCAAGUCGAGCGGAUGAAGGGAGCUUGCUCCUGGAUUCAGCGGCGGACGGGUGAGUAAUGCCUAGGAAUCUGCCUGGUCGUGGGGGAUAACGUCCGGAAACGGGCGCUAAUACCGCAUACGUCCUGAGGGAGAAAGUGGGGGAUCUUCGGACCUCACGCUAUCAGAUGAGCCUAGGUCGGAUUAGCUAGUUGGUGGGGUAAAGGCCUACCAAGGCGACGAUCCGUAACUGGUCUGAGAGGGUGAUCAGUCACACUGGAACUGAGACACGGUCCAGACUCCUACGGGAGGCAGCAGUGGGGAAUAUUGGACAAUGGGCGAAAGCCUGAUCCAGCCAUGCCGCGUGUGUGAAGAAGGUCUUCGGAUUGUAAAGCACUGUAAGUUGGGAGGAAGGGCAGUAAGUGAAUACCUUGCUGUUUUGACGGUACCAACAGAAUAAGCACCGGCUAACUUCGUG
rnacentral:rRNA from 1 species